AAACUUUCAACAACGGAUCUCUUGGUUCUGGCAUCGAUGAAGAACGCAGCAAAAUGCGAUAAGUAAUGUGAAUUGCAGAAUUCAGUGAAUCAUCGAAUCUUUGAACGCACAUUGCGCCCGCCAGUAUUCUGGCGGCAUUUUGUUUCCGAGCGUCAUUU
rnacentral:rRNA from 1 species